rnacentral:rRNA from 1 species
CCUACGGGGGGCAGCAGUGGGGAAUAUUGCACAAUGGGGGCAACUCUGAUGCAGCGACGCCGCGUGAGUGAAGAAGGAAUUCGUUAUGUAAAGCUCUAUCAGCAGGGAAGAAAAUGACGGUACUUGAGUAAGAAGCACCGGCUAACUACGUGCCAGCAGCCGCGGCAAUACGUAGGGGGCAAGCGUUAUCCGGAUUUACUGGGUGUAAUGGGAGCGUAGACGGCAAUGCAAGUCUGUAGUGAAAGGCGGGGGCUCAACCCCCGGACUGCUCCGGAAACUGUACGGCUGGAGUGCAGGAGGGGUAAGUGGAAUGCCUAGUGUAGCGGUGAAAUGCGUAGAUAUUAGGAGGAACACCAGUGGCGAAGGCGGGUUACUGGACUGUAACUGACAUUGAGGCACGAAAGCGUGGGGAGCAAACAGGAUUAGAUACCCGAGUAGUC